UACAGAGGGGGCAAGCGUUAUUCGGAAUUAUUGGGCGUAAAGGGCGCGUAGGCGGCUUGGCAAGUGGAUGGUGAAAUCCCUCGGCUUAACCGAGGAACGGCCGUCCAAACUGCUUCGCUUGAGACCGGGAGAGGUGAGUGGAAUUCCCAGUGUAGCGGUGAAAUGCGUAGAUAUUGGGAGGAACACCAGUGGCGAAGGCGGGUCUCUGGACAGUUCCUGACACUGAGACACGAAGGCCAGGGGAGCAAACGGG
rnacentral:rRNA from 1 species